UACGUAGGGGUGCGAGCGUUGUCCGGAGUUACUGGGCGUAAAGCGCACGCAGGCGGUCUGCUAAGUUUGGAGUGACAGUUGGUGGCUUAACUGCCAAAGUGCUUCGAAAACUGACAGACUUGAGGGCUUCAGAGGGACACGGAAUUCCGGGUGGAGUGGUGAAAUGCGUAGAGAUCCGGAGGAACACCAAAGGCGAAGGCAGUGUCCUGGGGAGUACCUGACGCUCAGGUGCGAAAGCCAGGGGAGCGAACGGG
rnacentral:rRNA from 1 species